AAUCUUCCACGAUGGGCGAAAGCCUGAUGGAGCAACGCCGCGUGAGUGAAGAAGGUUUUCGGAACGUAAAACUCUGUUGUAAGGGAAGAACAAGUACAGUAGUAACUGGCUGUACCUUGACGGUACCUAAUUAGAAAGCCACGGCUAAUUAUGUGCCAGCAGCCGUGGUAAUACGUAAGUGGCAAGCGUUGCCCGGAAUUAAUGGGCGUAAAGCGCGCGCAGGCUGUCCUUUAAGGCUGAUGUGAAAGCCCACGGCUCAACCGUGGAAGGUCAUUGGAAACUGGGGGACUUGAGUGCAGAAGAGGAAAGUGAAAUUCCAAGUGUAACGGUGAAAUGCGUAGAGAUUUGGAGGAACACCAGUGGCGAAGGCGACUUUCUGGUCUGUAACUGACGCUGAGGCGCGAAAGCGUGGGGAGCAAACA
rnacentral:rRNA from 1 species